GCCAGGUGUGGUGGCUCACACCUGUAAUCCCGGCACUUUGGGAGGCUGAGGCAGGUGGAUCACCUGAGGUCAGGAGUUCGGGACCAGUCUGGCCAACAUGGUGAAACCCUGUCUCUA
rnacentral:sRNA from 1 species